rnacentral:rRNA from 1 species
UACGUAGGCAGCGAGCGUUGUUCGGAGUUACUGGGCGUAAAGCGUGCGUAGGCGGUAGUCCAAGUCUGGUGUGAAAUCUCCCGCUUAACUGGGAGGUGCGCCGGAAACUGGGCUGCUGGAGUGCGGGAGAGGUAAGGCGGAAUUCCCGGUGGUAGCGGUGAAAUGACGUAGAUAUCGGGAGGAACACCUGCGGUGUAGACGGCUUACUGGACCGCCACUGACGCUGAGGCACGAAAGCGUGGGUAGCAAACAGG